UUAAUCUGCCCCUUGCCUUGGAUACCCCCGGAACGGUGAUUAUACCGGAUAUGCCCAGUUCUUGCAUGGGGUUGGUGGAAAGUUUUCGCCCAGGAUUGCUCGCGGCUUCAGCUUGAUGGUUGAGGUAAUGGCUCACCAUGGCUUCGACGGGUAGCCGGCCUGAGAGGGUGACCGGUCACACUGGGACUGAGACACGGCCCAGACUCCUACGGGAGGCAGCAGUGGGGAAUAUUGGACAAUGGGCGGAAGCCUGAUCCAGCAACGCCGCGUGAGGGAUGACGGCCUUCGGGUUGUAAACCUCUUUCAGUACCGACGAAGCGCAAGUGACGGUAGGUACAGAAGAAGCACCGGCCAACUACGUGCCAGCAGCCGCGGUAAUACGUAGGGUGCGAGCGUUGUCCGGAAUUAUUGGGCGUAAAGGGCUCGUAGGCGGUUUGUCGCGUCGGGAGUGAAAACGCCGUGCUUAACACGGCGCUUGCUUUCGAUACGGGCAGACUAGAGGUAUUCAGGGGAGAACGGAAUUCCUGGUGUAGCGGUGAAAUGCGCAGAUAUCAGGAGGAACACCGGUGGCGAAGGCGGUUCUCUGGGAAUUCCUGACGCUGAGGAGCGAAAGUGUGGGGAGCGAACAGGAUUAGAUACCUCUGGUAGUCCACACCGUAAACGUUGGGCGCUAGGUGUGGGGUCCA
rnacentral:rRNA from 1 species